rnacentral:rRNA from 1 species
GAUGAACGCUAGCUACAGGCUUAACACAUGCAAGUCGAGGGGAAACGACAUCGAAAGCUUGCUUUUGAUGGGCGUCGACCGGCGCACGGGUGAGUAACGCGUAUCCAACCUGUCCACCACUUGGGGAUAACCUUGCGAAAGUAAGACUAAUACCCAAUGAUAUCUCUAGAAGACAUCUGAAAGAGAUUAAAGAUUUAUCGGUGAUGGAUGGGGAUGCGUCUGAUUAGCUUGUUGGCGGGGUGACGGCCCACCAAGGCGACGAUCAGUAGGGGUUCUGAGAGGAAGGUCCCCCACAUUGGAACUGAGACACGGUCCAAACUCCUACGGGAGGCAGCAGUGAGGAAUAUUGGUCAAUGGGCGAGAGCCUGAACCAGCCAAGUAACGUGCAGGAUGACGGCCCUAUGGGUUGUAAACUGCUUUUAUAAGGGAAUAAAGUGAGCCUCGUGAGGCUUUUUGCAUGUACCUUAUGAAUAAGGACCGGCUAAUUCCGUGCCAGCCGCCGCCGUAA